AGUUGAUCCUGGCUUAGGAUGAACGCUAGCUACAGGCUUAACACAUGCAAGUCGAGGGGCAGCAUAACGAAAGCUUGCUUUGUGAUGACGACCGGCGCACGGGUGAGUAACGCGUAUCCAACCUUCCCUAUACUAGAGAAUAGCUCGGCGAAAGUCGGAUUAAUGCUCUAUGUUCUUCUUUGAUGGCAUCUGACGAGAAGCAAAGGUUUACCGGUAUAGGAUGGGGAUGCGUCUGAUUAGGUUGUUGGCGGGGUAACGGCCCACCAAGCCUACGAUCAGUAGGGGUUCUGAGAGGAAGGUCCCCCACAUUGGUACUGAGACACGGACCAAACUCCUACGGGAGGCAGCAGUGAGGAAUAUUGGUCAAUGGGCGAGAGCCUGAACCAGCCAAGUAGCGUGCAGGAAUGACUGCCCUAUGGGUUGUAAACUGCUUUUAUGCGGGAAUAGAGUCAGGUACGUGUACCUGUUUGUAUGUACCGCAUGAAUAAGGACCGGCUAAUUCCGUGCCAGCAGCCGC
rnacentral:rRNA from 1 species